ensembl:lincRNA
UUGUUCCAUACAGAGACUGUUGCCUGCAAUCCUCCUCGCAGAAGAAGAAGGAGCAAAGACAAACCUCCUCAGAUGAGGAUUGUUCUCCUGGGGAAAAGUGUAUUAGAAAACAGCCGUGUGGGAAACUUGAUCUUGGGCAGAUCAGCGUUUGACAGUGAAGCUCCUCCAGAUGUUGUGGAGAGAGUGGGAGGAAGACUGAAGAACAGACACGUGACGCUCAUCAACAGUCCUCAACUGCUCAACACACACAUCUCAGAUGAUCAGAUCACACAGAUGGUCAGAGAGUGUGUGAGUUUGUCUGAUCCAGGACCUCAUGUGGUGCUUCUGCUCCUCCAACAUCAGCAGUGUUCAGCAGAAGAUCAAGAGCGUGUGGAGAAGCUGCAGGACUCUUUCUCUGAGCGCCUUCUUCAACACACCCUGGUGCUCAGCACACAAGAGCCCACUGAACCCAAUCAGAUCCUGCAGAAGAUCAUCCAGAAGUGCUCCAACAGACACUUCAGUCUUCAGACAAGCAGCUCUGCUGAUCAUCUUCUGCAGGCCUUUGAGGACAUCGAGCGGAGCAAUGAGGGACGACACCUGAUUUCUGCUCAAUAUGAAGCUUAUAAGUAUUUCUCAGUGGAACAACAGGCCACACAAAGAGGUGAGUGUGAGAUUAUCUGAUGUUUCUUGUGAUGUUUACACUGUUUAAUCUUCUUCUGCAGUUUCAGACUGUGAGAGGCUGAAUGUGUUGGUGUGUGGGAGCGACGGCUCACUGAAAUCCUCCAUCUCAGAGCUGAUCCUGCAACACACACACAGAAGAUCAGAAAGUGUGAGGACAGACGUGGAUCUUCAUGGUCGUCUUAUCAAUGUGCUGGAGCUUCCAGCUCUGUUCAACACUGGGCUCUCAGAGGAGGAAGUGAUGCGCCAGACUCUCCGCUGUGUGUCUCGCUGUCAUCCUGGAGUUCAUGCUUUCCUCCUCAUUAUUCCUGACGCUCCACUGACUGAUGAAGAUAAAGCAGAAAUGGAGGAGAUCCAGAAGAUCUUGAGCUCCAGAAUCAACAAACACAUCAUGAUCCUCAUCAUGCAGAAUUCAGAUCAUCAGACAGCAGAACUCAAUGAAGAAACACAGACUGUCAUUCAGAGUUUUGGAGGAAGACAUCGUUACUUUAAUCCUGAAACACAAGUGUCCACAUUGAUGGAGAACAUUGAGAAGAUGCUGGAGGAAAACAGAGGAGGCUUUUACUCCACAGAGACAUUUCUGGAGGUGCAGAUGGAAAAACUGAUGAAAUAUGAAGAGAAGAAGAAAACUAAUUCAUUGGACAUACACUUACUACCAAAAGGUUCAGCUGAGAGUGAAAAAGAACUGAGGAUUGUUCUUCUGGGAAAAACUGGAGUUGGUAAAAGUGCAACAGGAAACACAAUAUUAAGAAGAGACGCAUUUAAAGCAGAAGAAUCAUUUGAGUCAGUGUCCAGUGAGAGUGAAGGAAAGUCAACUAAAAUCAAUGGCAGACGCAUCACUGUGAUCGACACUCCAGGACUGUUUGAUACUGAACUCAGUAAUGAGGAGAUCAAGAGAGAAAUCAGACACUGCAUCUCCAUGAUUCUGCCUGGACCACAUGUGUUUCUCCUGCUGAUUCCACUGGGACAAAGAUUCACUAAAGAAGAGGAAUUAUCAGUGAAGAUCAUCCAGGAGACGUUUGGUGAACACUCUCUAAUGUUCACAAUAGUGCUCUUUACCAGAGGAGACUUCCUGAAGAAGAAAACCAUUGAUCAGUGUUUGGGGAAACCUGGAUCUGUGGUCAGAAAACUGCUUAAAACUUGUGGAAACAGAUUCCAUGUGUUCAACAAUAAUGAGCCUGAAGACCGAACACAAGUGUCUGAACUACUGGAGAAGAUAGACAACAUGGUGAAGGCAAACGGAGGAAGCUUCUACUCAUGUAAGAUGUUCAGAGAAAUGGAGAGAGAAAAACAAGAACAGCAGACGAGGAUCCUGAUGGACAGAGUCAGAGAAACAGAAGAAAAGAUGAAGAAACUAGAGGAUGAGAAAGACAGAAUAAAGAUAAUGAUGGAGGAAAAACAAGAAAAUCAUGAUACACUUAGACAUGAAGUAGAAGAAAUGAGGAAUGAAAAAGAGAAACUUCAGAUCAAGUAUGAGACAGAGACAGACAGACUGAUGAAGAGAAUAGAGACUGAGAGGAAGAAAAGAGAAGAAGAGUAUACAGAAAGAGAAGAGAAAUAUAAAACACAAAUAAAAGAGAAAGAGACUGAGGUGAAGAAAGAGCGAGAGACGUUUAGAUGUGAAAUAGAGGAAAUCAGGAGAGAAAAAAAGAAACUUCAGAUCCAACAUGAGGCAGAAACAGACAGACUGAUGAAGAGAAUAGAGGAUGAACGAGAGAUUCAUGAAACGGAGAAAAAGAGAAGAGAAGAUGAAUUUAAUGAGAGAGAAGAACAAUACAAAAAAGAAAUAAAAGCAAAGAAAGAGAGUGAGCAAAAGAUGUGUGAGGAGAUGAGGAGAGAACAAGAGGAAUGUGAAAAACUGAAACAAGAAGAAAAUAAAAGACGAGUAGGAGAGGAUGAGGAAAGAAGAGAGAAAGAACAGAGAGAAUUUUAUGAGAAACUGGAAAAAGAGAAAGAAGAUAUUCAGUCUAAACAUGAAGAAGAAGAAAAAAAGAUGAAGAUUCAGAUAGAGCAAAUUAAUAGAGAAAGAGAAGAACUGAUGAAGAAACAUGAAGAAGAGAAAGAGAGAAUGAAGAUGAUGAUGGAGGAGGAACGACAGAAACAGGAGAAAGAGAAGAAGAGCAUAGAAGAACUGAUGAAGAAACAUGAAGAAGACAAAGAGAGAAUGAAGAUAAAGAUGGAGGAGGAACGACAGAGUCAAGAGAAAGAGAGAAAGACAAGAGAAGAAGAACUCAAAGGAGAAAUAAGAGAAGAAGAGAAACAUCAGAGAGAGAUAAAAGAGGACAUGAAGAGAGAACGAGAGACAUUUAGACAUGAAAUAGAGGAAAUGAGGAAAGAAAAAGAGACAAUAAAAACUGAAUAUGAGACAGAAAUAGACCGACUGAACAAUAGAAUAGAAAAUGAAAAGAAGAAAAGAAUUGAAGAAUUUAUAAAAACAGAAGAACAAUAUAAAACACAAAUCAAAGCAAAAGAGGAGACUGAGAGAGAGAUGAAAGAAAAGAUGAAGAGAGAACGAGAGGAAUGGGAGAAACUAAACCAAGAGAAAAACAAAAGAACAGAAAAAGAUUGGCAUGAAUUUAAUGGAAAAUUGAAACAAGAAAGAAAUAGACUGGAACGAGAGAAAGACGAUCUUCAGUCUAAACAUGAAGAAGAAGAAAACAAGAUGAAGAUCCAGAUAGAACAAAUAAACAGAGAAAGAGAAGAACUGAUGAAGAGACACGAAGAAGAGAAAGAGAAAAUGAAGAUAAUGAUGGAGGAAGAGCGACAGAAUCAGGAGAAAGAGAGAAAGAGAAGAGAAGAAGAACUGAAAGAAGAAAUAAGAGAAGAAGAGAAACAUCAGAGAGAGAUGAAAGAGGAGAUGAAGAGAGAACAAGAGACAUUUAGACAUGAAAUAGAGGAAAUGAGGAAAGAAAAAGAGACAAUAAAAAUUGAACAUGAGACAGAAACAGACAGACUGAUGAAGAGACUAGAGGAUGAACGAGAGAAUUAUGAAUUAAAGAGAAAGAGAAGAGAAGAAGAGUUUAAUCAGAGAGCAGACCAAUAUAAAAGAGAAAUUAAAAAGGCAGAAGAGAGUGAAGAAAAGAUGCAGGAGGAGAUAAAUAAAGAAUGGGGGAAAAUGGAGAAACUGAAACAAGAAGAAAAGAAGAGAAGAGUAGAGGAUGAGAAAAGAAGAGAAAAAGAACAGAGAGAAUUUAAUGAGAAACUGAAAGGAGAGAAAUACAGAAUGGAGAGAGAGAAAGAAGAUCUUCAGUCUAAACAUGAAGAAGAAAAAAAUAAGAUGAAGAUCCAGAUAGAACAAAUGAACAGAGAAAGUGAAGAACUGAUGAAGAAACACGAAGAAGAGAAAGAGAGAAUGAAGAUGAUGAUGGAGGAAGAGCGACAGAGUCAGGAUAAGGAGAUAAAGAAAAGAGAAGAUGAAUAUACAGUAAGAGAAACACAAUAUAAAACACAGAUAAUCCAAGAACGAAAGGAAUGGGAAAAACAGAUACAAGAGGAAAAGAAGAGAAGAGAAGAAGAUGAAAAAAGAAAAACGAAAGAAAAACAGAUAUCUGAUGAACAGAUGCAGAGACUGAAGAGUGAAGUUGAGGGGAAAAUCAAAGAGAUAGAGAGAAUAGAAAAAGAAAAACAAGAACAACUAGAGGAUUCAGAGAAGAGACUGAAAGAAGGAAGAAAGAUGAGAGAAGAUCAACAAAAGACAAAUGAAGAUAAUCUGAAACUGCUGGAAGAACAGCAUGAAGAAGAACUGAAGAGGAGACGAGUGGAGUGGAGAUGGGACUAUCAUCUAUUUCACAGACUUCAUCUUGAUUUUCGAAACCUCAAAAAACUUAGGUCAGAUGCUCUUCACAUAACUAAACAUUCAUUAAGGUCUCGUUAUUUGUGUGCUGAAGAGGAGCUGAUUCAGACAUUCAUACAGAAACUACUGAUGAUGGACUAUAGAGCACGAUACAUUAGAGUCAAAGAGACCAGAGAACAUCAAAUCCAGCAGAGAGAAGGUAACAGCGGUCAUAUGUUAUCUUUGUCUUCAUAUAACACAACAUCAACUCAGUCUGAGCGAAUUCACCCGAUGGAUGUUCAGAUGGCUGUGUUUCAUUGUGCUGAUGGUUUCCUGAGACAGCUGAUGGUCACUAAACUGUCCCAGUGUCAGUUCGCUCUGCCUCUGCUUGUUCCUGAUAUAUUCACAAAACAGAUUGAGUUUCCUCUCUGGACAUUCAGACAAAUCACCAAGAGCUGGAAGAUCAGAAACACCAACAAUGAAACCAUCAGUCAAACCCAGCCCAUCUACAAGGCACAAACUCCAAUGGUGUUUUUCUUCAGGUUUGGCUCUGUGUCUUCAUCCAAGUCUCAGCUGAUGAACAGUCUGAUCAAUGACAAACACAACACGUUCUUCCACAGGAACUGCCCAGGCAGCAGCAGAUCCAGAGUCCUGAUGGAUGGAGUGGUGGAGAUCGCCUGGUUCUGCCCUUCUGGAUCAGAUGAUGAUAAAUUCAUUGACUUUGUGGCCUUCUGUAAUCUACAUGGAGAUGCAGGAGACCAUGAGAAACAGUGGAGGAUCCUUACUGACAUGGCCUCAGUCAAUGUGGUUAUUUUACCACAAAUAGACAGGAACGACAAGCAUGCAGAAACAAUCCAAAGCUUGUAUAAGAACAGUAAGCCACUCAUUUGCCUUUUAACUGAGAAUGAAAAUGUAAUCAGGACCAAAAAAGGAAACUAUACAAUUGGCCUGAAAGGCAGAAAUCAGUCAGAUGUGUAUGAAGAUCUCAGAGGAGCUAUAAGCGAUUGUAUCUCAGAAUCAUCUCCCACUUUCAGACUUGAAGAUGUGUCCAAACACUCAGACAUCAGAGUAGAUGAGGAAGAUGAUGAAGACUGCAGGAGAGGAAGAGCAGCAGCACAACAGAUGAUCAGUUUACUGAAGGAGAAAAUACUGACAGAAAUCAAAGAAUCAUUUCUGCCUCAUCAGGGGAAACUGUGGCAUCAGUGGAGUCAGAAGAACAAAGAACUACAUCGACUUCAAGGAGAAAUAGAAAUCAGCAAAAAAAAAACAGAAUUAAUGCUAAUUCGUGCAAAGCAACACAAAUCUAACAUCAGUGAGUUUAUGAAGCUCUUUGUUAAAGAGAUGAACUCGUACAUAAAUUCUGAACAUAAGAUGUUUUUUCUUAAAUGGGUCGCAAUCCUCCUGGAUAAACAUACAUCAGCUGACCUUUCAUAUCUGUAUCACAAAUAUGAUGAAAAGUGGUCAGAAAUCUCAAAAUUGAAACUGAACCAUGACAAAAGACAACUUAACACUAAACAAACUGAACUUGAGAGAAUAUCUGAGGAUCUUCAAGCUGCAACCUUUGGUCUGGAGCACAUCAUGAGGGAGAUCGGUCAGAUCUAUGAAUCAUGUUCAUCUGUGAAGGAGAACAAGAAAGAUCUGCCGGUUCACUUCUCUUCUCUCCCGAGUCUCGCAGCAGAGAUGAUGAUCUCUGGGUUUCCACUGGAGCUGAUGGAUGGAGAUGCUGCUCAUGUUCCUCUGGUCUGGAUCUCUGCUGUUUUUGAUCAACUCAUCCAGAAACUGGGAGACCGCACCAGAGUCUUUGUGCUGUCAGUUUUAGGGAUCCAGAGCUCUGGGAAAUCCACCAUGCUGAACGCCAUGUUUGGACUCCAGUUUGCCGUCAGUGCUGGCAGAACAACCAGAGGAGCUUUCAUGCAGCUGGUCAAAGUGUCUGAGGAGAUGAAAACACGGAUGAACUGUGACUAUAUUCUGGUUGUUGAUACUGAGGGUCUUCGUGCUCCAGAACUGGCUGGAAGAUCAACAAGAGAUCAUGACAAUGAAUUGGCCACAUUUGUUGUUGGUCUUGCAAAUCUGACACUGGUCAAUAUCUUUGGGGAAAACCCGUCUGAGAUGCAGGACGUUCUUCAGAUUGUUGUUCAGGCCUUCAUGAGGAUGAAGAAGGUCAGACUUAAUCCCAGUUGUGUGUUUGUGCAUCAGAAUGUUUCAGACAUCACAGCUGGACAGAGACACAUAGAGGGAAGACGACUGCAGGAGAAACUGGAUGAGAUGACAAUACUUGUUGCUAAAGAAGAAGACUGUGAUGCUCAAUGUUUCAGUGAUGUCAUUAGAUUUGAUGUUCAGAAUGAUGUGAAGUAUUUUGCUCAGCUCUGGGAGGGCAGUCCACCAAUGGCUCCACCCAAUCCAAACUACUCAGAUAAUAUUCAAGAACUGAAGGAAACUAUUUCAUUUAAAUACUCAAAAUUGGAUGGAAUGAUGGUGGAUACAUUAAAGGAUCAUAUAAAAAAUCUCUGGAAGCUUUUAAUGAAUGAAAAGUUUGUCAUCAAAGCUUUUACUGAGUCUAAAAAUAUUCAGGAAAACAAUGAAAGAGAUCAAAAUAAUAAAUUUAAUGAGAUUGUUAGGCUGCAGGACAUCAAAGAACUUUCCUUUAAACUCAAAGACAAAGUAGAUGACAAAGAAACACUGAAGAAAGAGUUUAAUUUGUUCUGGCAACAGUGUGAUAAAGACAUUGGGUACAGAAGAAAGAAAGACGAGUACUAUAGUAUUUUCUGGAAAAACUGUCAUGAAGUAAAAUCAGCUAUAGAGUUCAUCUGUCAGAAACUGAAAAAGCCCAUUGAGCAGAGCGUCUACAAGAAAACUGCCAGAGAUUUAGCAGAUGAAAUGAGAUCAAACUGUGAAUCACUGAAUGGAAACAGAUCAAAUCUGGAGAAACACAUCCUGAAGACACUGGCAGAAGAGGAGGACUUUGACAAAUACAUGAACUACAUUCAUAAUCCCAAAGAUCACUUCAAGAGUUUCAUCAGAGAUGAAGUCAGUCGCUACAUCAGAGAUAAGUUCAGCAUCAGUGUUUUACCCAAGAUGGAGGAGAACAUUAAACUCCUGCAGCAGAAGAUCAUGAACGCAGCACAUCAAUCUACUGAACAUGUUCAAGUCAACAGUGGAGAUGUUGGUUUGUGGUUGAAGAGUUUCACACAGCAGCUCUCAGAUCAGCUGAUCUUCUCUAAAGAAGACCUCAGUGGAGUCAAACAUGAUGAUGUUGAUGAUUUCAGACUCCUAGAAGAUGUGAUCAGACAAGAGCUUCCUGCUGUAAUGUCAGACAUCAGCAGCAGAUUCAACACAGACACAUUUCCAGUAAAGCUGGACUAUAAGUUCAGGCCAGAUGAGCUUCUGAUUGAUCACUUCUGUCGGUGCUGUUGGGUUCAGUGUCCGUUCUGUGGAGUCAUCUGUACAAACACCAUUGAGAAAGAUCAUAGAGACCACAAUGCUCAAUUCCAUCGUAAUACUGGACUAUAUGGAUUGCAUUAUAAAAACACAACAAACUUGUCAAUUACCAUCUGCACAUCAGCAGUAGCCAGUGAUCAAUAUUUUCAUCCCAAUCAGUCAGAUGAAAGGUUCCCUUGGAGAGAAUACAGAAGAGCAGGAGGAGUUUAUGCAUGCUGGAGCAUCACUCCUGAUCUCUCUGAACUGCCCUACUGGAAGUGGUUUGUCUGUAGAUUCCAGAAAGAUUUGGAAAAAUACUACAAUAAAACAUUUGAGCGGAUGGGUAAGAUACCAGAUGAAUGGAAAACACAUACAAAAGAAGAAGUGUUUGGGAGUUUGAACUAAUUUAUAUGACACGGAUAAACACAUACACACACACACACACACACACACACACACACACACACACACACACACACACACACCCCUAUAAUUUUUCUCAUAUCUCAAACAAACACUAAAUGUUAUUAAAUAUUAAGUGGUUUAAAAUAUAAGGCUUAGAAUAGUAAAUUAUGGACAUGUUUUCAUAUAAAAAUAUUUUGUAGCUCUAAAUUUAGAACAAAAAUUAUUGAAUAACUAUUUAAUUAUUAAGUCAGUUAAUCAUAUUUUUUUUUUUUUUCUGUUGGACACAACAUAAUAUACUUAGCUUUUCUGUUAAGCGAGAAAUCUGAAAACACGUACCAUUAACUUUAACAGUAGGAAAAACAAAUACCAUGGAUUCCAAUGGCUAAAGGUUUCCAGCUUACAAAAAUGACAUUAAAUAAAUCAAUAAUUUAACUUUUAGAAUCUCAUUAAAGUUGAGGAUCUGAUCAAAUCACAUGACUAUCUUAAUAAACUUCAUUCACUUCUAUACAUAAAAUACUAUAACUGAUUAUUUCCACAUCUGCAGGCAUACAAGAAAUUCUUUAUACUAUAUCUAAAUAAAAAAGAGAGAUAAAGCACCAGAGUAGGCCAAUAGUGUGCAGUGACAGCAGUUUGAGCAACAAAAAACACAAUAGACCUACUCUUUCACCGUUUGCUAGAAAAUAAAACAUAUAGGAUGUAGGAUUAAUCUACAAAAAAAAAAAAAUCAUAACUAAUAAACUUAAUUUUCUCAUGCUAUUACUUACAUAAUAAUUAUCUGAGAAUAGAGAGGAAAUGUAAUAAACCAAGGGCUGAUCUGUGGCCUACAAUUAUUAAAAAUAAUACUGUAAAUACACAUAAUAUAUUCAAGAAACAAAAUGUUUUGGAUUCAGAGCUUAAUAUCUAGUGAAUGUAAUGUGAAUAAAAAGUAUUACUUUUAUGUAAAAUUCAAAAUAAGGUUUACAUUAGAGCACAAUGCAAAAUGCAGUAAUGGAUGAUGAUCUGACAAUGAAGAAUGUACAAGUGAGAUAACCAUUCAUAAUCUUGGAGGAUCUUCAUCUAUAAUAAUCACAUUCACAUGCCUGUGAUUCUGUGUUACUUUUAAAUGUUGUAGUUUUUAAUGGAGAUGCUGUAUCUUACAUGUUGGCAUGUUUGGCUGCACAGGUGAUGGCAUUUUGGGGACAUUCGAAUAAUCAUCUGUUCUCAUUAGAAUGCUAAGAACAGAUGUAAUUCUUUCUGGUGGACAAAAGCACUAGUUGAGCCAUCUAUAUAAGUCUGGUCGCCCAGUUUCCACACACCAGAGAUACAUAAUCUGUGCUAAAAUUAUCAGUUGUGUAAAUGACAACAUUGAACAUCUGAACCUGAGAAACUGAAAAAUCAGACAAUAGUGAAAAACUGUUCAACAAACUAGCUUUUGGACAGGCAACUACUUCUACUCGUGAAUAUGUUUCCUAUGUGUACAUAUGUCAAAUGUGCUUAUGCUUUUUUAUUUGAUUAUCUCUGAAUGCACAGAGCUACAAGAUUAAUUGUUUGGACUGACGUACCUCCUUUAUCAAAACUGAUCUCCUGCUUGAUGUGUCUGUUAUUAUAUGCGUCAUAAAUGGUGCAGAUGACUGUUUUUCAAUUAAACCACUUGUUUCAUAUUAACAGAGUUUCUGUCAGUUAUUUUGUAAUGUAAUGUAAUGUAAUGUGUAUUUAUAUAGCGCAUUUAUUGUGUAUGGCCAUACACCCAAAGUGCUUCACAAUCAUGAAGAGGGUCUCUCCACACCACCACCAGUGUGCAGCUCCACUUGGAUGAUGCGACGGCAGCCACAGGACAACAGCGCCAGUGCACUCACCACACGCCAGCUAUUGGUGGAGUAGAGAGACAGUGAUCGAGCAAAUUCGGUGGAAGGGGAUGAUUGGGAGGCCAUGAUCGUAAGGGCCAAUAGAGGGACUUUGGCCAGUACACCAGGGUUACACCCCUGCUCUUUCGCAGAGAGUCAGGACCUCAGUUGAACAUCUCAUGCAAAAGACAGCAUCCACUGACAGUCUAGUGUCCCCUUCACUCUUACUGGGGCAUUAGGACUCACACAGACCACAGGUUGAGCGCCCCCUGCUGGCCUCACUAACACAACUUCCAACAGCAACCUAGUGUUCCCUAGUAGUCUCCCAU